GUUUGCUCAGAAUGCAGCUGUAUGCAUAUACGUAACAAAGAGAAAAUGAGAAGUAUACCACGCCCUGUCCAGAGGUCUAGCUUCAAUUUUUGAUUCAGCAGCUCUGGUGCAAUAAUACGAAGUAAUCGCUAGUCCGUAGCUGCCUCUCAAAUAAGAAUUCUAAGGAGGCAAGUUUCUUACCAAGUUUGUCUUCAGUCUUUGGAUGAGUUGCGAAGGAAAUGGGCAAGAAGACUUCUCGUACGGUAAAAGCUACUACAGAGUGUGUAGCAGUGGACAUGUGACAUAUACCAUCUGCAUGAUGAAGUCCUUGAUCAUUGACCAUAAGUCUGUAUUGUGUAUUGUUGUACACGACUAUGCAUGGUCUGCAUGUUUAGUAUUUUAUAAAAGACAAAUGUAUCAAAUAAAUGUCUGUC